CCCAGAGCUAGAAACAAACUAUUUUUGUUGGUUUUGCUCGCAGCCAAUCACCGCAAGCGUUCUUCCAUUUAAUGUGAUGUUUGAUCGGCCAAAAUGAUACUUCA